GUGGUCGCGGCUGGACCGGGUGAGCGGGGGACGGAAUGGGGAUCGGCCCGGGCGAGGUGAGUUUGCCACAUAGCCGUUAUUCGUUAUUGCCUCUGCCUUGAGUCCUUCGUUCCCUACAAGUUUUGGAAAAUAGACAUUCAAAGAUGAAGAACUGACUUUAAAAUGGAAAAUCUUCCCUGUUCUAGUUGGAAAUAUUAAAUGUCUGCAGGACACAGCAGAUGAAGGCAAAAUGCUGCUUCACCAGCCUGUGUUCAGAAUACUUUUUAGUAAAGAUGUCAGAGAGAAACAAAGAAUAUCUAACGAAUAUUCCACAUUGAAGCUAUGGCAGUCUCUUUUGGAAAGUAUAACAAAGUUUCAGUGGCAGGAAAGCAAAAGACUCCAGUAGUCAUUUUUCCUUGAUCUUCAUGUUAUCCUAUAAGAAUCUCCAAGCCCACUCUGAGAAACUUGAUACUGAACAUGGGAAUUUUUUUUCCCCAGUAGACAAUUUGUCAGAACACAGUGAAAUUGGAUUACAUUCAUCAAUGUAUUUACCCCAAAUAAAAUUAACAAAGU
rnacentral:lncRNA from 7 species